GCUCUGUAUAAACUCUCUUCGCUGGUAUCAGAAGCUGUGAUCUGUGCCUUUAAAAAGACGGAGGGGCUUGUGCCUCAGUGCAACAAGGAGGGAUGAAACACAGCUGGGACUUGGGGAAGUAGCCAAGCUUCCAGCAGCAUUUUAGAGUGCUUGCCCUCCCUCCUCCUGUGUUAACAAUUUUGCAGCUACCUCCAGCUGAGCACCCUGCUCUCAUAAUUAUCAAUCCUCAAUUUUACCCACGUUGUCUUCUCCUCUCUUCUGCACAACCGGGCACUGAUCCUAGCUGGCUGCCAAACUUCUGCUGUCCUCGCUUGAUAUGGCCAGCUUCCUCCCUUGUGUCAACAAAUAUCAGCAUGUGGAACACAAGUGAGAGCAAACUCUAUUUGACAAGGAAGACCCACUGAAGUUUUUUAAAGAGAUACAUGACAAGUUUAUUUAAAAGACAAUUGAAUAAUUUAAAGCUUUCUGAGGAUUACCAAACAUCUGUGGAAAUGAGAUCAGAACCAAACAACAGACCUUCAUCAAGUCACUUGAAAUUUCAGAUCAUGGGAAUUAAAGAAGAUUCUAUAAGCUUCCAGAGAGGGUAAAAAAUAACAUAUAAAGGAUUCUAAACAAAACUGCUUUGGAAUUUUUCAAUAAUAGCACUGAAUAUGAGAAGACAUUGCCUUCAAAUAUUUGAAGAAAAUAAUUUCUAGCCUGUAAUUCCAUGUCUCUUUAAUUGUGUAGAAGAAAAAAAUUAAAGGUUUCUUCAGAGAGUCAAGGAUGAGGAA